rnacentral:rRNA from 1 species
AGUGAACGCUGGCGGCGUGCUUAACACAUGCAAGUCGAACGAGAACGGAUUAUAGCUUGCUAUAAUUGUCAGCUAAGUGGCGCACGGGUGAGUAAUGUAUAGGUAAUAUGCCUCUUACUAAGGGAUAACAAAUGGAAACGUUUGCUAAUACCUUAUACUCCUUAUUAACAGAAGUUAAUAAGGGAAAGAUUUAUUGGUAAGAGAUUAGCCUGUAUUGUAUCAGUUAGUUGGUGGGGUAAUGGCUUACCAAGACUAUGACACAUAACUGGUUUGAGAGGAUGAACAGUCACACUGGGACUGAGACACGGACCAGACUCCUACGGGAAGCAGCAGUGGGGAAGAUUGCACAAUGGACGAAAGUCUGAUGCAGCAACGCCGCGUGGAGGAUGACACAUUUCUGUGCGUAACCUCCUUUUAUAUGAGAAGAUAAUGACGGUAUUAUAUGAAUAAGCACCGGCUAACUCCGUGCCAGCAGCCGCGGUAA